ensembl:lncRNA
AUCGAAUUUAAACUUAUUAAAUGGCAGAAAUCCAGAAAAGUGAGUAGAAAACCUCUCAAUGGAGCACAAAAUACAAAAUAAAGGCAAACUCCAGAAGAGAGAGCUGGAACAAACAUAAUAAAACAUUGUUAAAUUGUCAGUUUUUCAUUGUAGAGGUUAGUGCAGAAGCCGGAGACAUGACAUAAAUGAACAUCCGCUCAGAUCACACUAGAAAAAUGAUUUUAAAUAAGCUUCAUUGGGAUGUUUAGAUCAAAAUCUGACUCUGACAUGACUUACACCUUUAAAAAUGGUGAUUUUUAAUGUUUUCUUCAGCAUAUUAAGUCAUAGGAUAGAAACAUGAAGAUGUUAUACAUACAUACUGGGACCCAGUAAAACACAGACAACGUUUAUUAAUGUGGAAUUAAUAAAUGGUUGUGUACAGUAGACUAUAUGAAUUGUUUUAUUUUAUGCAGCAGGACAUAACAUUAUCAGUCAAAUAGCAGGUCUAAAGAACUUUUGCUAUUAACCUUUCCUCCAUUUCUUCUCUCUCAGCUCCUGUCACGAGUGAUGAAGACUCCCGCGCCUUUGGAUGUUUUUGGAUUUCUAGCAGAAGAAAGCUGGAGAUCCGUGCAUCCUCUUUAGACCAAGUGUCUGUGUGAAGUCAGAAAACAUCAGUGGUGAGUUCAAGAAUUCUCAGGACUGUGAAGUCAAAAUCCGCUCAUAGUACGGCAGCGAUGGCACGUCCAAUCAAAAGACUUGAAUUCUAUUUGUUUCGUUUCAAGGGAUCGUGAUGAAGGUCUUCUUCAAGACCUCACUGAAGUGGACGGAUCGGGGAGAGCGUGCUUUCAUGACAAUGUCGUCGGCGGGACUUUUCCGUGUGAGCAGACAUCUUUCUUCACAACUUUCAGAAGCAUCUGAAUUCAGACCGACCGGUCAGUCCAUCGUCAUCAGAAACCCAAACUCUCCAGGUUAGUCUCAAACAGCUUGAACACGCAAACACACGGACGCUCGAGUCCUGACAGUUAUGCUGAAGUGCCAGAAAACCACUCUGGUCUGGAGCCCCUCCUCACACACGUGUGUGUGUGUGUGUGUGUGUGUGUGUGUGUGUGUGUGUGUGUGUGUU